rnacentral:rRNA from 1 species
CGAACGCUGGCGGCGUGCUUAACACAUGCAAGUCAAGGAGAAAGAAGAUCUUCGGAUCUUUAAGUAAACUGGCGGAUGGGUGAGUAACACGUAGGUAAUCUGCCUCUGGACUGGGGAUAACACUGCUAACGCGGUGCUAAUACCGAAUAACGCAAUAUAUUCGCAUGUUUAUAUUGUUAAAGUUGGCUAAUUUUAAUUGGCUAACGUCUGGAGAUGAACCUGCGUCCCAUUAGUUAGUUGGUGGGGUAAUGGCCUACCAAGGCAACGAUGGGUAGCCGGCCUGAGAGGGUGACCGGCCACACUGGGACUGAGAUACGGCCCAGACUCCUACGGGAGGCAGCAGUGAGGAAUAUUGCGCAAUGGCCGCAAGGCUGACGCAGCAACGCCGUGUGAGGGAUGAAGCUUUUAGGAGCGUAAACCUUUGUUAGGAGGGAAGAAAAUCAUUUAUUCGAAUAGGGUAGAUGUUUGACGGUACCUCCAGAGGAAGCCCCGGCUAACUCC